AGAGUUUGAUCCUGGCUCAGAUUGAACGCUGGCGGAAUGCUUUACACAUGCAAGUCGAACGGCAGCACGGGGCAACCUGGUGGCGAGUGGCGAACGGGUGAGUAAUACAUCGGAACGUGCCCAGUCGUGGGGGAUAACGUAGCGAAAGUUACGCUAAUACCGCAUACGAUCUAUGGAUGAAAGCGGGGGAUCGCAAGACCUCGCGCGAUUGGAGCGGCCGAUGUCAGAUUAGGUAGUUGGUGGGGUAAAGGCCUACCAAGCCGACGAUCUGUAGCUGGUCUGAGAGGACGACCAGCCACACUGGGACUGAGACACGGCCCAGACUCCUACGGGAGGCAGCAGUGGGGAAUUUUGGACAAUGGGCGCAAGCCUGAUCCAGCCAUUCCGCGUGCAGGAUGAAGGCCUUCGGGUUGUAAACUGCUUUUGUACGGAACGAAAAGGCUCUGGUUAAUACCUGGGGCUCAUGACGGUACCGUAAGAAUAAGCACCGGCUAACUACGUGCCAGCAGCCGCGGUAAUACGUAGGGUGCGAGCGUUAAUCGGAAUUACUGGGCGUAAAGCGUGCGCAGGCGGUUUUGUAAGACAGAGGUGAAAUCCCCGGGCUCAACCUGGGAACUGCCUUUGUGACUGCAAGGCUGGAGUACGGCAGAGGGGGAUGGAAUUCCGCGUGUAGCAGUGAAAUGCGUAGAUAUGCGGAGGAACACCGAUGGCGAAGGCAAUCCCCU
rnacentral:rRNA from 1 species